rnacentral:rRNA from 1 species
AGCAGCCGCGGUAAUUCCAGCUCCAAUAGCGUAUAUUAAAGUUGUUGCAGUUAAAAAGCUCGUAGUUGAAUUUCGGGGUCAGUAGGCUGGUCGUGCCACAGGUACGUACUGGUCUCACUGAUUCCUCCUUCCUGAUGAACCGUAAUGCCAUUAAUUUGGUGUUGCGGGGAAACUGGACUGUUACUUUGAAAAAUUGGAGUGUUUAAAGCAGGCUAACGCUUGAAUACAUUAGCAUGGAAUAAUGAAAUAGGACGUUCGAUCCUAUUUUGUUGGUUUCUAGGAUUGACGUAAUGAUUAAUAGGGAUAGUUGGGGGCAUUAGUAUUCAAUUGUCAGAGGUGAAAUUCUUGGAUUUAUUGAAGACUAACUACUGCGAAAGCAUUUGCCAAGGAUGUUUUCAUUAAUCAAGAACGAAAGUUAGGGGAUCGAAGACGAUCAGAUACCGUCGUAGUCUUAACCAUAAACUAUGCCGACUAGGAAUCGGAUGAUGUUAAUUUUUAAUGACUCA